CGUCGUCGGUGAGGCUGGUGG
rnacentral:misc_RNA from 1 species